UUAAUUCGAAGCAACGCGAAGAACCCUACCAGGUCUUGACAUCCCUCUGACCGCUCUAGAGAUAGAGCUUUUCUUCGGGACAGAGGUGACAGGUGGUGCAUGGUUGUCGUCAGCUCGUGUCGUGAGAUGUUGGGUUAAGUCCCGCAACGAGCGCAACCCCUAUUGUUAGUUGCCAUCAUUCAGUUGGGCACUCUAGCGAGACUGCCGGUAAUAAACCGGAGGAAGGUGGGGAUGACGUCAAAUCAUCAUGCCCCUUAUGACCUGGGCUACACACGUGCUACAAUGGCUGGUACAACGAGUCGCAAGUCGGUGACGGCAAGCUAAUCUCUUAAAGCCAGUCUCAGUUCGGAUUGUAGGCUGCAACUCGCCUACAUGAAGUCGGAAUCGCUAGUAAUCGCGGAUCAGCACGCCGCGGUGAAUACGUUCCCGGGCCUUGUACACACCGCCCGUCACACCACGAGAGUUUGUAACACCCGAAGUCGGUGAGGUAACCUUUUAGGAGCCAGCCGCCUAAGGUGGGAUAGAUGAUUGGGGUGAAGUCGUAACAAGGUAACCA
rnacentral:rRNA from 1 species